rnacentral:rRNA from 1 species
UACGGAGGGUGCAAGCGUUAUCCGGAUUCACUGGGUUUAAAGGGUGCGUAGGUGGGUUGGUAAGUCAGUGGUGAAAUCUCCGAGCUUAACUUGGAAACUGCCAUUGAUACUAUUAGUCUUGAAUAUUGUGGAGGUCAGCGGAAUAUGUCAUGUAGCGGUGAAAUGCUUAGAGAUGACAUAGAACACCAAUUGCGAAGGCAGCUGGCUACACAUAUAUUGACACUGAGGCACGAAAGCGUGGGGAUCAAACAGG